UGACCAUUGUAUCGACCGGACGUCAAAUGACGCUCCACCGCGCGUCGCCUUCUGCCAUGCACAGCAGUUUUUUUUGCUUCUUUUCUAUAGUCACACUGUUAUUUGACAUUUUUAAUUCUUGUUACUUAGUUACCACGCACUAGCGCCCGCCCGUUCUAAACGGUGAAGCCGCAUGAACAUCAACAUCAGCCACUUCAUUGCACUCGUUGCCGUUGUUGCUGCGCACUUUUCGUGUGUCUUCACAGCCUCGCUAAACAUGGCGCCGCGUGCGAAGCAAAGUCGGCGAAGUUACGACGCGAAAUUCAAGCUGCGUGCAGUUGAACUUGCAGUGUUGUGUGAAAACCGAGCAGCAGGGAGGGAAUUCCAAGUCAGUGAGAAAAUGAUCUGGGAUUGGCGCAAAGCCUUCGAUGUGCUCCGGACAAUGAAAUCAACGAAGAAAGCGAACCGCGGCAUGAAGGCACGUUG
rnacentral:lncRNA from 1 species